UCGGCAACGGAUAUCUCGGCUCUCGCAUCGAUGAAGAACGUAGCGAAAUGCGAUACUUGGUGUGAAUUGCAGAAUCCCGUGAACCAUCGAGUCUUUGAACGCAAGUUGCGCCUUAAGCCUUCUGGCCGAGGGCACGUCUGCCUGGGUGUCACAAAUCGUCGUCCCC
rnacentral:rRNA from 2 species